CCCAUAAAGGCACUCCAUCUUCAUCUUUCCAGAGGGGAACCAACCAUUGACCUUCUAUUGGGAAUAAACUGUCCUAUUUACCACCUUAAAGUUAUGGAUGUCUUUUGCUGCUCUGAAGAAAUGGAGUAGAAUGAAGCUCAUAGGACAAUGGUCUCCAAGUGACUGCAGAUAUCCUUCUUGGAUACUGAAGACCCAAUCAGAGCUCUGGAUCAGCUAUUAUCUGUAUAUUCAGUCUCCUGCUGAGAGCACUAGGCCACAUCAACAGUCCUCUGUGUUGCCCAUCAUGACAGCAGACUAGCAGAGCCUGUCUAAGGCUUCAGGCAUGUGGUCAUUUUUCCCACAGAAGAGAAAGGGGUAGAAGUGUGCCUGUGCUAACACCUAUGAACAAAACUGACAAUUAGACUAUUGGAAAGCUUAAGAAGGUGAAGAACAUGAGACAAUGAAUCAGUGUGUUGUUAUUCAACACACAGUUUAUAAGAACUACUCAUGUGAAAUAAAAGUAUUCUGAGACACCAAACCAACUCAAUCAACCAAACAAACAAACAAAUGAAAAACAGAA